GUCUAGCACGACUUCAGCUGCUACUAAAAUGGCUGACUCUAGCUCAUCUGAUAAAACAUCUAGGAUACCCUUUCCUUGUGCUAUAAUUUUAGGUAUUUUGUGGGGUUUGCAAGAGUUUGCAAGUCAAAACCAUUUGCGAGGAGGACAAACAGGCAUGUAAAGACCUAUGAACAUGCAGACAAACAGAGUUGUGAAGUUCUACGGAGUUCUGAUAAUCAAACCAUUUGGAGAAGUGAAGAUUUCAGAAACAAUUCAUCAAUCAGCCAAAGAUUGAAAAUUCUACCAUCGCACGCCCAACAAUUCUUCGCGACCUGUUGUGGGCUCACGCGCGGGUUCUUUGAAAGCCCACGAGCCCACGCGCGCCACUCUCGCUCUCUCUCUCGAGGGGAAGAGAGGGAGGGAGAGCCCAACCAGAUCGGUGGCCCGUGCCUUUCCGCGCUCUCUUCCGCCGCCGCCGCCUCGCUCUGCUUGCCCGCACCUCCGGCCGCCGCCUCCUCCCUCUCCUUCUCCCGAUGCGGGCCCUCGCUCACGCCGCGUCGCUGCUCCGCCGCGCCUCGCCAAGUCCUGCCGCCAUUGCCGCUCUCGCGAUCUCGGCAUCCUUGCCGCACUCUGCCGACUGCCACCAAACUUCGCGGCAAGAUCCUGACAGCGGAAGUCGAACGCCUGCGCGCGGACAAGCAACACGCCACGCGGAGACCACGGGGCCCUCACCAGCUGCGCGGUGACGGACGGAUGAUGGACCCGCAGACCUGCAGUCCUCCAGCCUUCAAGGCCGAUACGCCUUCCUCCUGCUUUCUGCAGGCUCUUCUUUCCUCCCCUUCUUCGCACCGGGUGCCACAUCUGCAGCAGCCGUGGCCCGUGCACGAAUUUUAGGAUUUGUUUAGUUUCUGAGAUUUGAUAUUUAGAUUCAAUUAUGCAACUGUUGAUUCAAUUCUUUGCUAAGUCAGUGUGAUGCAUCACGCAUGAUUUUAGUAUGUGUUACUGUGCAACGGAGUGAGGACGCUCUCCUUGCUUGUGUGUGCUGAUUCAGUUUUCAGACCAAUGUGGUGAUCAAAAUUUCUGUUUCAAGAAAACCAGCUCUCCCUUGCGUCGUUUCUGCAAA